rnacentral:piRNA from 1 species
CCUAUAUAAGGGAUAGCUGAUAAAAGG